GAUGAACGCUGGCGGCGUGCCUAAUACAUGCAAGUCGAGCGAACGGACGAGAAGCUUGCUUCUCUGUUGUUAGCGGCGGACGGGUGUGUAACACGUGGAUCACCUACUUAUAUGACUGGUAUAACUUCGGGAAACCGGCUCUAAUACCGGAUGAUAUUUUGAACCGCAUGGUUCAAAAGUGAAAGACGGUCUUGCUGUCACUUCUAGAUGGAUCUGCGCUGCAUUAGAUAGUUGGUAGGGUAACGGCCUACCAAGGCGACGAUGCAUAGCCGACCUGUGAGGCUGAUCGGCGACACGGGAAGUGAGACGCGGUCCAGACUCCUGAGGGACGCAGCAGUAGGGAAUCUUCGGCAGUGGGCGAGAGCCUGACGGAGCAACGCCGAGUGAGUGAUGAAGGUCUUCGGAUCGUAAAACUCUGUUAUUAGGGAAGAACAGAUGUGGAAGUAACUGUGCACAUCUUGACGGUAACUAAUCAGAAAGCCACGGCUAACUACGUG
rnacentral:rRNA from 1 species